rnacentral:rRNA from 1 species
AUUGAACGCUGGCGGCAUGCUUUACACAUGCAAGUCGAACGGUAACAGGUUAAGCUGACGAGUGGUGAACGGGUGAGUAAUGCAUCGGAACGUGCCCGAUCGUGGGGGAUAACGCAGCGAAAGCUGCGCUAAUACCGCAUACGAUCUGAGGAUGAAAGCGGGGGACCGUAAGGCCUCGCGCGAUCGGAGCGGCCGAUGUCAGAUUAGGUAGUUGGUGGGGUAAAGGCUCACCAAGCCAACGGUCUGUAGCUGGUCUGAGAGGACGACCAGCCACACUGGGACUGAGACACGGCACAGACUCCUACGGGAGGCAGCAGUGGGGAAUUUUGGACAAUGGGCGAAAGCCUGAUCCAGUAAUGCCGCGUGCAGGAAGAAGGCCUUCGGGUUGUAAACUGCUUUUGUACGGAGCGAAAAGGCUCUCUCUAAUACAGGGGGCUCAUGACGGUACCGUAAGAAUAAGCACCGGCUAACUACGUGCCAGCCGCCGCGGUAA